rnacentral:rRNA from 1 species
UCGAGAAUUUUUCACAAUGGGGGAAACCCUGACGGAGCGACGCCGCGCGGAGGAUGAAGGUUUUCGGAUUGUAAACUCCUGUCAUGCGGGAACAAGAAAGUGAUAGUACCGCAAGAGGAAGAGACGGCUAACUCUGUGCCAGCAGCCGCGGUAAUACAGAGGUCUCAAGCGUUGUUCGGAUUCAUUGGGCGUAAAGGGUGCGUAGGCGGCGUGGAAAGUUGAGUGUGAAAUCCUAGGGCUUAACCUUAGAACUGCACUCAAUACUCCCAUGCUAGAGGAAUGUAGAGGAGAGUGGAAUUCACGGUGUAGCAGUGAAAUGCGUAGAUAUCGUGAGGAAGACCAGUUGCGAAGGCGACUCUCUGGGCAUUUCCUGACGCUGAGGCACGAAGGCCAGGGGAGCAAACGGGAUUAGAUACCCCGGUAGUCCUGGCAGUAAACGGUGCACGUUUGGUGUGGGCGGGUUCAGACCCCGUCCGUGCCGGAGCUAACGCGUUAAACGUGCCGCCUGGGAAGUACGGUCGCAAGAUUA